AUGUAACAUUAUUUUCCUCUGCAACUUUGAACAUCCGAACACAAUGAAGCUAACUUAAGUAGUUAAUGACUUGUAUGAUUACGUCUCUGUACAGAAACCUUUAACUAUAGAAGUAGCGGAAUCAUGCUAGUAUAUUUGAAGCUCUUGGUAAAUAAAGGAACAAUUGCGUGGGAACUAAUUUCCAAGAACUCUUUACUUUGUACCCAACAUCCUAACCUUUGCUGACUGUGCCCUCUGACAUUCUGGAACUGCAGAUGGAUGAAUUUUGUGAAUGCAAUGGUUUCAUGCUGAAAGUCAUGUAUAACCAAACAAUAUUUGAAUUGUUGCUGAGCAUGACCCAGCGCUAUUCAUCGCUCUUUUAGUUUAGAACUGGCCAAGUUUCAGUUGCCUUCUGUGGUAUUGACGUAUUUUGUGCACCUAACCAAAACCAUUUGGUAGUAUGUUUACAGUACUGGCUCUCAAACCUAGACUCAUACAAAUAAAAGGUGAGGAUGACCUUGCUCAAAACUACAUUACAACUCUUAUAGAAACAAAAAAUACAGCGCUUAAUAUUACCCAAAAGAAAAAAAACACACAGACCGGGGGGGGGUUCAUGAUCAAGAGCCAAACCCACACAACCAAUAAGUGGAAAAAAAUGAAAUAAUCAAUAAUAAUUACCAAUCUUUUGUGUUUAAAUAAAAAAAGCUGCUAGUCUUGAAUAGUACACGUUCUCCAACAGGUAGAGAGCCUACAAAUAUAAACACAAACUGAAAACAAGAGACAGCGCUUGGAUAACUGUAAAAACAAUAUGUUUAAUACAAAGACAAAGAAAUAUGCAAUACAUUAAAUAAAAGAAA